AACGAACGCUGGCGGCAGGCUUAACACAUGCAAGUCGAACGGGCGCAGCAAUGCGUCAGUGGCAGACGGGUGAGUAACACGUGGGAACCUUCCUAGAGGUACGGAACAACUCAGGGAAACUUGAGCUAAUACCGUAUAAGCUCUUGCGAGGAAAGAUUUAUCGCCUUUAGACGGGCCCGCGUAGGAUUAGCUAGUUGGUGGGGUAAUGGCCUACCAAGGCGACGAUCCUUAGCUGAUCUGAGAGGAUGAU
rnacentral:rRNA from 1 species